GAGUUUGAUCCUGGCUCAGGAUGAACGCUAGCGGCAGGCUUAACACAUGCAAGUCGAACGGUAACAUUGGUGCUUGCACUAGAUGACGAGUGGCGAACGGGGGCGUAACGCGUAUACAAACUACCUCUUAUUAAGGAAUAGCUCGGAGAAAUUUGAAUUAAUACCUUAUAAUAUCUUAAAGCCGCAUGGUUUAAAGAUUAAAGAAUUUCGAUAAGAGAUGGGUAUGCGUGAUAUUAGCUAGUUGGUAAGGUAACGGCUUACCAAGACAACGAUAGGUAGGGGCCCUGAGAGGGGGAUCCCCCACACUGGUACUGAGAUACGGACCAGACUCCUACGGGAGGCAGCAGUGAGGAAUAUUGGACAAUGGAGGUAACUCUGAUCCAGCCAUGCCGCGUGCAGGAAGACGGCCCUAUGGGUUGUAAACUGCUUUUAUAUAGGAAGAAACCAUCUCUCGUGAGAGAUAUUGACGGUACUAUAAGAAUAAGGACCGGCUAACUCCGUACCAGCAGCCGCGGUAAUACGGAGGGUCCGAGCGUUAUCCGGAAUCAUUGGGUUUAAAGGGUCCGUAGGUGGAUAAUUAAGUCAGAGGUGAAAUCUUGCAGCUCAACUGUAAAAUUGCCUUUGAUACUGGUUAUCUUGAGUUAUUAUGAAGUAGUUAGAAUAUGUAGUGUAGCGGUGAAAUGCAUAGAUAUUACAUAGAAUACCAAUUGCGAAGGCAGAUUACUAAUAAUAUACUGACACUGAUGGACGAAAGCGUGGGUGGAGCGAACAGGAUUAGAUACCUUGGUAGUCCACGCCGUAAACGAUGGAUACUAGCUGUUCGGAUUUAUCUGAGUGGCUAAGCGAAAGUGAUAAGUAUCCCACCUGGGGAGUACGUUCGCAAGAAUGAAACUCAAAGGAAUUGACGGGGGCCCGCACAAGCGGUGGAGCAUGUGGUUUAAUUCGAUGAUACGCGAGGAACCUUACCAGGGCUUAAAUGUAGUGGGACAGGAGUGGAAACACUUUUUUCUUCGGACUCAUUACAAGGUGCUGCAUGGUUGUCGUCAGCUCGUGCCGUGAGGUGUCAGGUUAAGUCCUAUAACGAGCGCAACCCCUGUUGUUAGUUGCCAGCGAUUAAAGUCGGGAACUCUAACAAGACUGCCGGUGCAAACCGUGAGGAAGGUGGGGAUGACGUCAAAUCAUCACGGCCCUUACGUCCUGGGCUACACACGUGCUACAAUGGCCGGUACAAUGAGCAGCCACCCCGCGAGGGGGAGCGAAUCUAUAAAACCGGUCACAGUUCGGAUCGGAGUCUGCAACUCGACUCCGUGAAGCUGGAAUCGCUAGUAAUCGGAUAUCAGCCAGACGCGGUGAAUACGUUCCCGGGCCUUGUACACACCGCCCGUCACACCAUGGGAGUUGGUUCUACCCGACGACGCUG
rnacentral:rRNA from 1 species